rnacentral:rRNA from 1 species
UACGUAGGGUGCGAGCGUUGUUCGGAAUUACUGGGCGUAAAGCGCACGUAGGCGGACUAUUAAGUCAGGGGUGAAAUCCCGGGGCUCAACCCCGGAACUGCCUUUGAUACUGGUAGUCUCGAGUCCGGAAGAGGUGAGUGGAAUUCCGAGUGUAGAGGUGAAAUUCGUAGAUAUUCGCAAGAACACCAGUGGCGAAGGCGGCUCACUGGCCCGAUACUGACGCUGAGGUGCGAAAGCGUGGGGAGCAAACCGG